UACGGAGGGUGCGAGCGUUGUCCGGAAUCACUGGGUUUAAAGGGUGCGUAGGUGGUCCGUUAAGUCAGUUGUGAAAUCCCCGGGCUCAACCCGGGAACUGCUUCUGAUACUGGCGGACUUGAGGCCAGUAGGGGUCACUAGAACUGACGGUGGAGCGGUGAAAUGCGUAGAUAUCGUCAGGAAUGCCGGUGGUGAAGACGGGUGACUGGGCUGGUUCUGACACUGAGGCACGAAAGCGUGGGGAGCGAACGGG
rnacentral:rRNA from 1 species